AGGACGAACGCUGGCGGCGUGCUUAACACAUGCAAGUCGAGCGGAAAGGCCCUUCGGGGUACUCGAGCGGCGAACGGGUGAGUAACACGUGGGCAACCUGCCCUUAGCUCUGGGAUAGCUCCGGGAAACCGGAAUUAAUACCGGAUAUGACCUAGGCCGACAUCGGCCGUGGCGGAAAGUUUUUCGGCUAGGGAUGGACUCGCGGCCUAUCAGCUAGUUGGUGGGGUAAUGGCCUACCAAGGCGACGACGGGUAGCCGGCCUGAGAGGGCGACCGGCCACACUGGGACUGAGACACGGCCCAGACUCCUACGGGAGGCAGCAGUGGGAAUCUUGCGCAAUGGGCGAAAAGCCUGACGCAGCGACGCCGCGUGGGGGAUGAAGGCCUUCGGGUUGUAAACCCCUUUCAGCAGGGACGAAGCGAAAGUGACGGUACUGCAGAAGAAGCGCCGGCUAACUACGCGCCAGCAGCCGC
rnacentral:rRNA from 1 species